GACUAAGUUCGGCAUCAAUAUGGUGACCUCCCGGGAGCGGGGGACCACCAGGUUGCCUAAGGAGGGGUGAACCGGCCCAGGUCGGAAACGGAGCAGGUCAAAACUCCCGUGCUGAUCAGUAGUUA
rnacentral:SRP_RNA from 1 species